UGGGGAAUUUUGGACAAUGGGCGCAAGCCUGAUCCAGCCAUGCCGCGUGCGGGAAGAAGGCCUUCGGGUUGUAAACCGCUUUUGUCAGGGAAGAAAUCUUCUGAGUUAAUACCUCGGGAGGAUGACGGUACCUGAAGAAUAAGCACCGGCUAACUACGUGCCAGCAGCCGCGGUAAUACGUAGGGUGCAAGCGUUAAUCGGAAUUACUGGGCGUAAAGCGUGCGCAGGCGGUUUUGUAAGACAGAGGUGAAAUCCCCGGGCUCAACCUGGGAACUGCCUUUGUGACUGCAAGGCUUGAGUGCGGCAGAGGGGGGAUGGAAUUCCGCGUGUAGCAGUGAAAUGCGUAGAUAUGCGGAGGAACACCGAUGGCGAAGGCAAUCCCCUGGGCCUGCACUGACGCUCAUGCACGAAAGCGUGGGGAGCAAACAGGAUUAGAUAGCCCUGGUAGUCCACGCCCUAAAACGAUGUCAACUGGUUGUUGGGAAGGUUCCUUCUCAGUAACGUAGCUAACGCGUGAAGUUGACCGCCUGGGGGAGUACGGCCGCAAGGUUGAAACUU
rnacentral:rRNA from 1 species